AUGACUUUAGCUCCUGCCCUUCUCGAUAUGUUAGGCUCUAGGGAGGUUUCACAUCAUGUGGAAGAGUAUGUCAGAAGGUCAGUUCUGUUUACAGCUUCAUGCAUAUUGGUGGCACUUCAUCCCUCUUUUGUAGCAUCUGCUUUGGUUGAAGGCAAUACUGACAUAUCUAAAGGACUUGAAUGGAUACACACAUGGGCCCUGCAUGUUGUUGAAUCAUAGACGGAUACUGAAUGCUCAAUAAUGGCACUGACAUGUCUCCGACUCCAUAUACUGAGAUGGCUCUCCAAGCUUCUCGAGUGCUUGAAUUCACAGACAAAACAUUCAAGGCAAAAGGCACUGAUGUCUCAACUAAUCUUUUGAAGGGGGAAAUCAAGAUACCCUACUCAAACAUGGGAUAUCAAAUUUGAAGCUCUGGUAUAGUUAUGCAUGCAUUCUAAAGCAUUGCAUUUAACUUCCCUUUUUUUCCCUUGUUCUUUCGUAAUUGUGGGUCUGGCCGUGCCUUU